rnacentral:rRNA from 1 species
UACGGGGGGAGCAAGCGUUGUUCGGAUUUACUGGGCGUAAAGGGCGCGUAGGCGGCCACUGCAAGUCAGUUGUGAAAUCUCCGGGCUUAACCCGGAAAGGUCAGCUGAUACUGCAGGGCUAGAGUGCAGAAGGGGCAACUGGAAUUCUCGGUGUAGCGAUGAAAUGCGUAGAUAUCGAGAGGAACACCUGCGGCGAAGGCGGGUUGCUGGGCUGACACUGACGCUGAGGCGCGAAAGCCAGGGGAGCGAACGGGG